rnacentral:rRNA from 1 species
AGUGAACGCUGGCGGCAUGCCUAACACAUGCAAGUCGAACGGCAUCUUCGGUGUUAGUGCCUGGCGGGUGGUUAAGAACUGGGAACGUGCCUUUAGGUACUGAAUCACUCAUGGAGACUUGUGCUAAGACCGCAUGUGUCCUUCGGGGGAAGGUUUUAUCGCCUUAACAGCGGCCCGCGUCUGAUUAGCUAGUUGGUGAGGUAAAGGCUCACCAAGGCGACGCUCAGUAGCUGGUCUGAGAGGAUGAGCAGCCACAUUGGGACUGAGACACGGCCCAAACUCCUACGGGAGGCAGCAGUGGGGAAUCUUGCGCAAUGGGGGAAAGCCUGACGCAGCCAUGCCGCGUGAAUGAUGAAGUUCUUAGGAAUGUAAAAUUCUUUCACCCGGGACGAUAAUGACGGUACCCGAAGAAGAAGCCCCGGCUAACUACGUG